CACGUAGGGUGCGAGCGUUGUCCGGAAUUAUUGGGCGUAAAGAGCUCGUAGGCGGUGUGUCGCGUCGGCCGUGAAAACCUGCAGCUUAACUGUGGGCGUGCGGUCGAUACGGGCAUCACUGGAGUUCGGCAGGGGAGAGUGGAAUUCCUGGUGUAGCGGUGAAAUGCGUAGAUAUCAGGAGGAAUACCGGUGGCGAAAGCGACUCUCUGGACGGCAACUGACGCUGAGGCACGAAAGCGUGGGGAGCAAACAGG
rnacentral:rRNA from 1 species